GCACCCGUAGCUCACUUGGGUAGAGCGUCGACCUCUGAAGGUAGAGCUCUCAGAUUCUAAUACUGAUGGGUGCGCCA
rnacentral:tRNA from 1 species